rnacentral:rRNA from 1 species
AGCGUAGACGGCACGGCAAGCCAGAUGUGAAAGCCCGGGGCUCAACCCCGGGACUGCAUUUGGAACUGCUGAGCUAGAGUGUCGGAGAGGCAAGUGGAAUUCCUAGUGUAGCGGUGAAAUGCGUAGAUAUUAGGAGGAACACCAGUGGCGAAGGCGGCUUGCUGGACGAUGACUGACGUUGAGGCUCGAAAGCUGGGGAGCAAACA